GCAGGCAGUACGGCCUACCAGGAAAUAGCUAGUAUAAGGGAAUGGCAUGCUUGGUAUGUACCUGUGCCGGUUAGUGCUAGCUUGUCGUUUUGCAAUGUUAUUAAGAAACAUAGAUAUGGUUGUUAUAGUGAUUGCUGCGUAUAGAAGAAUCUAUUUUUAGCUACUGCUCAAAAGGUAUAAAUACUUAGCUCUGUAUCAAUAAAAUCGGCUUCUUGCAUCCAAGCAAUCUGCCCCGUCUCUUCCAUUGCCGACCGUCACACGACACUCCCCAGGCCAGGAUCCUCUCCCAGGGCUGGACACAGUCUGAUGCAAAUAGGUGCCAAAGCUCAUUUUCCCUUUCUUUUCCUUGCUAAAUCAGUGUUUGUACUGUGACUUUCACUCCCUGGGCAAUAUGCACCAAAAAUGUGGCCUGAGGAGACCUUCUUUUCCUCUGUCAGUCCUGAAGAGGAAUAUGAGAGACAGCUCCUCCACCUGAAGAACGUUAUGGAAUGCUAUAAAUAUGUUAAUUCUCUAAUUUAUUAAGGUUAAAACUUACUUGACCCAUUUAAAAAAUGUCACUGUUUCCAGGGUAUCAACAAAUAAAAGGAUACCUGAAAGAGACCUACAGAAAAGCUUGGGUGUAUGUCAUGAAUGUCAUGUUAUUUCAUGGCUUUACAUUUAAGCAUCUCAGUUACUGCAUCUCCUUACUCUUAGAAGAUUACCAACUAGAACAGGUUCAAAACUUUGUCUUCUUGAGGAAAAUGGGACAAAUUCUCUAUCUGAUGCAGUUGAGGGCAUGGAAGAUGGAUCUUCUACAUCCAAAACUACUGGCUAUUUAGUAUUAUCUAUUAUUUAAGAUACGUCUCACUUUAUAGUCUACAUUUCCACAUACCACUUUGAAGGCACAAUUUGAUUAUUAUUGGUUGGUUGUUUUCUUGCUUUCAGUUGAGGACAAGCUGCUACAAGGACUCAGGCUUCUGUCCUCAAGCUCAAGGUGUCCAGAGAAGGAUUUGUGCAGGGGGACUUCCUUCUACACCUUAGGUCUAGUCUGGCUGGACACCUUUCCCAUCCUAGGUUGUGUGCAGAGUAACAGGAUGCUUUGCCAUGACUUGCUAAGCCACCUUGGGAGCCAGGCAAGGUGGGUAUUUGCUGCCUGGAAGGCAAAGAGAGUAAGUUUUUCAAAUACUGAAUAGCAAAAUAUUGAACUUCAGAAGAAGAAAGCCCCCCCCCCCCCACUGGAAAUAAAAUAAAAACAUAUAGUCCUUCAGGAAACUAGCCCAUUGCAUAACAAGCAGAUAAGAAUGAAUUGUUCCUUUCAAGUCAGUUUUUAAAAGAGGAAAAUAUUUAGAAAGUAAAUCUUGCAGUCUAGGUAAAAGCAAUUUUGUUUUAUGCAGCUGCCAGUGAAGAGUCCUGGUGCAGUGGUACUUGUAAGUCGUAAUCAAUAAACAUGAAUUAUUUAGAAGACACAAGAUAAAAAUGAAUGAGUAUUAAACCAGAAUUAAUCCACCAUAUAAACACUAAGCAAUAUGUAUGUGUUCCUAGCAAAUUGGUAGUGACAUCCAUUUGGAAUCUCAGUUUACAUGCAUGAAAAAGGUAUAAGUGAAUGUUUCAUCAUCUAAUUGUAAAUAAAUUUUAGCUAAAAUGCAUGAACUAACUGUUAAGGAUCAAGUAUCUUAAAUUAGAAUGUCUACAGUAUAUAAAAGCAGACAUUCUGGCCAGAUGGUGUGAGACUAAGAAGUGACUGCACUUCAAAUAAAUAACCAGAAAUCAUGUGCAAUGGGGUUCACUUGAGCACCACACAUUAAAACAACCUGCAAAGAAGAGAUGAGGCAGUUUAGGAGAAAAGUUUUUGUGUUGGAGGGGCAAUGAAAAAUCUCAUUUAACAUAGAUACUGUGUUAGUCCCACUUUUUGCUUCUUCUGUCUGCAGAAAUGAGGUCUCAACAGAGCUUUUGGAUCCUGAAGAAACAUGAUGAGAGAUAUCAUUCCCAACCCACUGACAGAGAAGGAAGAGGAGUAAUAGUACUCACAUGUAAAUGAAGUGAGGCAAGGCCUGAAAAAUGCUUCAUGACAAGAGGAAAAAUUGAGGAAUUAGGAGUGUCCAAAAGAGUACUUUGUAGUACAAAGACCUGUGGGAUGGGAAGAAAAUAUUAAACAGUUCUAUAUGAUGACCUGAAAUUUUCCCAGUGAAACGAGACAACUUUUUCCCUCAUCUCAGUGGAGACAUGGAGAAGGGCCUUGCUUUCCUGCAGGAGCUCUGAAACCAAAAUCAGCUGGUUUCUCUGUAGUAACACUGUGAUCAUCUCAGUACUACCCAUGAGGCUUGGCUUACAGGAGCACUUUUUGAAACAGACACAGGGACUGAUGCAUAGCAAAGCCUGUGGGUAACACUGUGGCGGGGACAUUUCAUGGACAGAGAUCUGUGGGCUUUGUCUGGCCCACAGCAAUGCAGAGCCAAUUCACCGCUUCCAUGAGGAAUUUUUGUUGGAGCACAAAAUUGCUGUUUUGUCAGCAGCAAAAUGUAUCGGUAACCACUGUGUACUCUUCUCCUCUCUAAAAGCUCUUGAAUAAAACAUCAAUGAUUUUACUAAACAUGCCCCAGGACUCCUCCAGACAUAUCCCUGUGUGGAGCAGGGAAGCAGAGCCUGCACCAGCCUGGGGCUCAUCACAAGGCUCUGCCAAGGCUGCUGGGCAGGAGGAAGAGCCAGUGUAAGAGAUGGAUGCAGGCAGCAGAAUGACUUUCACCUUGCUCUCUGACCUUUUGGGACUGAUGUUUGUUUUCUGUUACUGCCCUUCAGUUGCCCUCUCCAUUGGUUGGCUUGAGGUUAUGGCUACGGAUUAGUUUGUUUAAUACUCUGUUGUUUGCAAAUGACAUCUUUUUUCUUAGUAUUCUGCUCUUUGCUAAGCUCCCCUUUGGAGCUCCUCAGUUUUUUAAUUAUUCACAAAAGCGAACUGAACUCUUUGGAAUUAAUUGUGUUUGGUGGUAUCUUGCAGGAAUGAAAGGGGUUCUGCUUUCUUCUAAGUACAUUUCUUGGUGCUUUCAAGUCUGCACUCAAGUUAGAACACAUGCCAACACCUGGACUUGGUGCUUCCCAGGAAAUAGGCAGUCCCCAGGAAGAAUAUGCCAUCUCACCCUUUUGCUUGGUGUGUACUUUUUUAUGGGUGCUGCUAUAGGAAGAGUAGUAAAGCUUAGUACUUAACAGUUUAUUUCUCAAUAUGUCAUUCACCUUUGGAAAUUAUAAAUCUUCCUUCCAGAGGUGUAUGUUCUGAUGGCAUUGCAUACAAAAUACUGAAAAGGAAACUGUGAUCUGCUCAGUGCUUAAUGACAGCCAAAAUCUGCUGGGGGGAUGAUGAUCACUGCGUGGAGGCCAUGUCUGGUUUUAGUUUUCCCCCUGCCCAUUCAGUUGGGCACUUUAGCAGACAAGCUUGCAGGCUGGUUACUCAAAUGCCUCCUCUGCACCCCGCACAGAAAAGAAGGAUAGACUAGAAUAGAAAAAAAUCUAAUCUUUCUUUCAAACUAAAAGCUACAAAUGAAGCUUGUUGUCUUGAAGGACACUUCUGACAAACACUUGUAUCAGAGGUCCCACGUCAAAGUCUCAGUAAAUAUAUACCUUUUAAAAACCUUUUACAAACAGUACUUUCAUGCUCAUAAACAUCCAGGUUCUCUACUAAAAAUCUUCUCCAUUCACUUUCCUAAGUAAGGACUCAGUCCUGUUGCUUGAAUUUACGAUCUCUGUUCUCUUUCAUUGGUUAUGAUAGGUAAGUGGAUAAAGGUCUUGCUGCAAAAAACCAGAAGUGUCAUUAUAGCAAUGUUUUACAACAUUCUUUAUAGAAGAACUAUAUUGCUGUACCUAGACCAGGUGUUUAAAAAAAAUUCGUAGAGGUGAAGCAGAAAGCCUGGUAUUCUCAGCAGAAAGCACUUGCGUGCUCCCCAGUGUUUGCUAGUUGAAUUAAAAGAAGCACGGUAGAUAUGGCUCUCUAAUUGGGUUCAAAUCACUGAAUGCUGGCAAAGUGGUGCCAAACUCACAGGAAAAGAAAACUGAGUUCUACAACUAAAUACUUACUAAACCCACAUUUGUCACAUCAGAAACAGAUGUAUUUUUGUUGAACACAUUAGAAGCACUGAGUAUUUUUGUUCCUUGUAAUAUUUUUGUUUAUUGUCCUUAAUGUCAUGAGUAAAAGAUUGCUUCUGCCUACUGCUGCUAUGGGACGUGUUUUCCCUACUACUGCAGUAUAAUUAAAAAAAAAAAAAAAUUAGUACUAAGACUUUGUUGACAGUGAUAGCCCCUUAGCUCCUAAAUCUGCUAUCCCAUCCAUCACUAAUCUCAAACAAUGCAAGCAUUAGUUUCUCUGUGACUUAUCUGGGUCCUUAGUAGAUCAAUAGCACAGCUCAGAUGUUUCAGACUCUUCCCUGUUAAUUUGCAUUUAUCUUUUCAUCCAAAGAAGGUAAACUACCUCACAGAGAAGCUGUGUUAUCCCCAAUAGUGGUUUAUAAUGUUGCCAAGUCAGCAUGACCCACAUAUCUCAGCUGGAAUGCAUUUGUCACUGUCUCAUGUUAUGAUUAUCUGGUAAAAUGCCCUAGAAAAGAGGUAAACUUGCAAAAUGGCUUCACCGUUUUCAUUUAAUGACCUUUUCUGCUGUGUGUUCCUCCAUCACCUUCAACUGAAACUGCUAAAU